UCCCAAGUAGAAGAUAAGCCAUGUGAG
rnacentral:piRNA from 1 species